AAGGACCCACCCUGCUGACACCUUGAUCUUGGACCCAUGGCCUCCAGUACUGCGAGAUGGUCCAUGGAAGAGUUGUCUUCAAGAAAACUGCUCUCUGGUGCCAAAAAGUUUGGAGACCGCUGAUGUAAAUGUUUCUAAGAAUAGUUAAGCAACUUAAACUUUACAUGCUACGAAGAAUACAGGUUUAAAUGCUAAUAAAAAUAGGUGCAAAUGAAAA